rnacentral:ncRNA from 1 species
UUUUUUUUUUGGGGUAAAGGUAAAUUUUUUAUUUAUUUUUUGAUCCUAACGGAUAAAGGUUAAAGUUACCUCGGGGAUAACUGAGUAAAGAGUGGGGAGAGAUCAUAUCUAUCCAUUUGUUACUACCUCGAUGUUGGCUUAGGAAACCGUCGUGGCGUAGAAGUUACGUGUGGUAGUCUGUUCGACUAUUAAAUUCCUUAUGAGUUGAGUUAAAACCGGUGUGAGCCAGGUUGGUUCUUAUCUAUUAUUGA